UACGUAGGGGGCGAGCGUUGUCCGGAUUUACUGGGCGUAAAGGGCGCGUAGGCGGCCUUCUAAGUCGAACGUGAAAUCCCCGGGCUCAACCCGGGAACUGCGUCCGAUACUGGAAGGCUUGAAUCCGGGAGAGGGAUGCGGAAUUCCAGGUGUAGCGGUGAAAUGCGUAGAUAUCUGGAGGAACACCGGUGGCGAAGGCGGCAUCCUGGACCGGUAUUGACGCUGAGGCGCGAAAGCCAGGGGAGCAAACGGG
rnacentral:rRNA from 1 species